GGCUUACCCGCCCGCCUGUAACCAAACCGCUAAUUUCCUCGCGACGCCGCCUCCCCAGCGCUAAUUCCGCCGCCGCCUCCCAAAAAUUGCCUCCCGACUACCGAGCGCGUCAGCUCCGUCGCCGCACCUCGCCACGGCCGGCGGCGCUUGCUUGCUUCGGCUCCAACUCUACUGCUGCUGGGCCGUGGCGUUCGUUCCGGCGGACGUCCCGCUCCGACGGACCCCGCGAUCUUGCCUCGCCGCCCGUUCCGCUCGCUCUCGGGGACGGGCCGGCGGACGUCUCGCUCGCUCUUGGGGACGGGCUGGCCGCACCGGUCGCCGCCCCUUCCGCCGUUUCCGGGGCUGCCCGACGUCGCGCCUCCCCCCGACGUGGCACCUGCCUCCGACCCCGCCGCAUCCUCACCUGGCUCCGAUGCCACCACAACCUGCAACGCUGACUCCCCGUCGCAGCACCUGCUGGCCUUCCCGGCGGGCACGGGCGCUGGCCCCUCGGGUACGACUCGCGACGCCGCCUCCCCGCCCACAAAUCGACGCCGCACCGCUGCGCCGCCUAGGGUCGACAAUGACGUCCCCGCCAUGGCCUUCCUCGGAUCGACAUCGAGCGCCGCCCCGCGCAUCCGGAUCCGGCGACCUCCUGCCGGGAUGCUGCCGCUCUCCGCGCACGGAUCUCCGAGCUCUCUCUACCCCGGCCGGCCGCCAAUCGCGCCGCACACCCUGAUCCGGCGACCUCCAGUCGCACGGGUCGACGGGCCACCGUGUAGCCGCUCACCGCGGAUCUCCGACCUCACUCCGCCCCGGCCGGCCGCUCGUGGAACCGUCGCCCUCCGACUGAUUCUCCCUUGCUUCGGUCCCUGAUUGAUGCAGAAUUUGUAACUUGGGAUGGGUCAAUGCUCAAGCUCACUUAUUUCAUCAACAGUUUACCCCUGCAGCUUCUAAUAGGUCUUCUUGUAAUUGUAACUCGUAGGGUCAAUUGCUACCUGAUCCAAAGACUUUCCCUUCAGGCAUCAAAGCUCUUGCAGAUUAUGUGCACAGAAAAAGUUUAAAGCUUGGUUUAUACUCAGAUGCUGGGAAAUUUACUUGUCAAGUUGGACCUGGAUCGCUCUAUCAUGAAAAUGAUGAUGUUGCACUCUUUGCUUCAUGGGGUAUUGAAUACCUGAAGUAUGGCAACUGAUUCAAUCUAGGAAUAAAGCCUAAGAAAAGGUUAGAAGGCCAACAUGUCUUCACUCAGUGUUGACCACGGUUUAGAACACAUGAGACCUUACCAUGCUGUCCUAAAGUUUGUUUCAUGGUGUCAUAUUCGUAGAUAUCCAGGCACGUGUUUAUGCAGUAUAAACCUGUAGGUGAUAAACACAUGAAGAACGUACCUGUUGACUGCGGAUGCCAUCCGCAGCAUGGCCGCCUCUAGAGUGCCGAGACGUGGCUGUCGACGCCCCUCUGGUUAGGAUUCUGGUGAGGUCUUUUCUUUCUGGUUCAGAUGUCAAGAAUGCUCAAAAUGUGGUAGGCGAUUUGUGAAUAGCAGUUAUUUGGGGAAUAUAUAUGCUACACUUGUCAUUCUCAAAUGUGUGUGUUCGGAUGGAGCUGGAUCGGCAUGCUGGGCAAGAACCAAAGAACAUCGCAGCCAUGCUUUGGUUCCGUACGGAGGAGACGCGGCUCCACCCAUGCUGUACACCCUGCGAUGGAGACGGUGCACGCUUGGCAGCCAGGAUGCAUUUCAGGGACCUAGAUAAACACGGGUAAUCCUUAAUCUGGACGGGACUCACUAAUCCGGUGGCAUCGCCGCAUCAGCCAUGCUCAUAGGGAGGUUGUUAGCAUAAAAAACAAUGAAGUACAUGUGCAGACAUCAAAUGGGAAAAAGGAUAUGGCAGAUCAAAAGUUUUUCCCAAGGAUAUGGAAGCUCCACCUGGAGGAGUUGAUGAUAUGACAAUACUGUCAUACUUACAUGAACCUGGUGUUCUUCAGAAUCUUGCUAUAUGAACUGAAUGAAAUAUAUGUGAGCGCCUUACCAUCUUUGCCUAAAAUCUUACACCAAAUAAAUUGCAUAGUUGCUCAUGAUAAGAAUUCUGUUGUACCCAUAUAUACACUGGCAGCAUUUUGAUUGCUGUAAAUCCAUUUCAAAGAUUGCCACAUCUUUAUGAUACCCACGUGAUGGAACAAUACAAAGAAUUGAGUCCCGAUGUUUUGAUGUAACCCAAUUAUUUUUAAAUAUAAUUAUUCUUUAAACA